CGUUGAAACACCAGUUCCCAUACGAUCACCGAAGUUAAGCAACUUCGAGACUGUUCAUUACAUAAAUGGGUGAUCGCUUAGGAACACCAGGUGUUGUAAG